rnacentral:lncRNA from 1 species
UGCACAUCUGUAUUGAAGUACACAUAGUAACUAUAUCCUUACUUCCAACUGUCCUUAGGAUGUUUCCAAAACCUCACGUGCAGUGGCUGUUUUUGAAUCAAAAGAAAGGAAGAAGCUAAGGGAGUGGCAGCCGGCAAGAGUCCUGUAAGAAGGCCCACUUCCAUGGCGCUUUACUUGAAAGAUGAAUAUUCACAGCUAUGGCUUGGAAGGGAAGAGGCAGCCAAAAGGAAUCAUUAAGCUGAGCUAAAUGAGCAGAACUGAGAGGCAAGGCAGGAUCAAGAGGGAGAAGCAAACACUGUCAAGGCAGAGGUAGGCAGAUAUAUCACACAAAGGAUGUUCAGCAGGAUACCGUACUUUAGCACAUCAACCCAAACUGCAAAUCUGCAGCUGAUGUUGUACAACUUAAUACUCAAGCACACUACAAUUUAUCCUUUUACUUGGAGCCAACAAGAUGUGAGGCUUCCUUUCAGGGAAGAACUCUGAGCCUCAGGGAAACCCAAAUACCUUCCACCUCUGCAAGACUCCUUCUGUGGCCCAAUUAAAACUGCUGCUGCUGGGGGGUAAAGUGGUAACUUCUGAGCUGGCAUAGAUUUCUAUAGUAAAUGUAC